GGGGGCUAGUUUGAGCCUGCUAAUAAAGACAAUGUGACCCUAAGACCAUACAGAUGGAGAGGAAAACUUCUAAAGUGCAAAUGACUAGACAUUAACUGAAAGCAUCCAUGGAUGCCAACAUAUUUUAUCAUAUGCAUUACUUAUCACACAGAUUCCGAACAGGGACUAUGAUAUGUGAAUAGAGAAACAUGUUAAUCACAAUAAACCUUCUAAAGACCAUACAAAUUGUUCCUGGCUAAAGCAGGGAACAGAUGGAAGAAUUGAAUGGAAGAUUAAGAAAAAUAUUGAUCAACCAAUUUCUUAAGACAAUUAAGCAUUUUCUAAAAGGUUAAUACCUUUUUUUAAUUUAAAGUAAGACAACAAGCAUGAACAACAUUUCUCCACAGUUUUUUCACUUUCACACAGUCUCCACUAUUUACCCUCAACUAGUUUACAUUUUCACAAAUAGAGUUAUCUCUUACUAUAAGAUAACCAUCGGAAAGUUUACUUACCUCAACAUUCGAUGGAAAACUUU
rnacentral:misc_RNA from 1 species